rnacentral:rRNA from 1 species
UACAGAGGUCUCAAGCGUUGUUCGGAUUCAUUGGGCGUAAAGGGGGCGUAGGUGGCAUGGUAAGUCGGAUGUGAAAUCCCGGGGCUUAACCCCGGAACUGCAUUCGAUACUGCUGAGCUAGAGUACUGGAGAGGAGAUUGGAAUUUACGGUGUAGCAGUGAAAUGCGUAGAUAUCGUAAGGAAGACCAGUGGCGAAGGCGGAUCUCUGGACAGUUACUGACACUGAGGCACGAAGGCCAGGGGAGCAAACGGG